UGCAGUAACGUUUUAUAAGAACUUUUAUUGUGUGUGAGAUACAAGGGAAUCCCUACCGAAUUAACUUCGGGUAACGGGAGCUGCCCCGCAACUGUAAUCGGCGACGAAAUCUGCAAAAUGCCACUGUCCAGCCCUUUCUUAGGAAAGAGCGAGAUGGGAAGGCGUAGAAAGUAGGAAGACCCGAAAGCCAGGAGACCUAUCUCACAUUUUUUCUAAAA
rnacentral:ncRNA from 2 species